rnacentral:rRNA from 1 species
UACGUAGGGUGCAAGCGUUGUCCGGAAUUACUGGGCGUAAAGAGUUCGUAGGCGGUUUGUCGCGUCGUUUGUGAAAACCAGCAGCUCAACUGCUGGCUUGCAGGCGAUACGGGCAGACUUGAGUACUGCAGGGGAGACUGGAAUUCCUGGUGUAGCGGUGAAAUGCGCAGAUAUCAGGAGGAACACCGGUGGCGAAGGCGGGUCUCUGGGCCGAUACUGACGCUGAGGAGCGAAAGCGUGGGGAGCGAACAGG